UGCAAUCAUCCACUCAAUACAAUUUAGCAAGACCGAAAUCCGAAACUUUUGGAUUGAAAUUCUCGUCCAGAAGAUAUUGUGUGGCUUGAUGUCAAAAUGUAGAAUCUGCAUGUCGCAUCCUCGAUGCAAGUAGUCGAUUCCCCGAGC